AUUUAAGGCACAGUACCACAGAUGCCAGAGUAAGUACAGACUGUGACAUUACAGUAACUGGUCAAGAACAUCUGCGCAAGGAUGAAGACAUUACAUGCAAUGCUGCUGAUGCUGUUUGUUGCAUCAGUCUUUUCAAAACCAUUUCAUUUGCGCAGAAGAUUUGAUUCAUCAGACUCCGUGCGAUCUAGAUUCAGUUCAGAGGAAAAUGAUUCAAGCAGAGAAGACAGGGAGGAUUCACAGUCGGAUGAGAAAUCUGAAUCAAACGGGUCUAAAUCAAGUGAUUCUGACUCUUCGGAGGAAGAUAUCAGAGUUGUGUCAAGCACAUUCUCUGCAGCUAGCACAACAAGUCCAUCGACCGCUGGCAAGACAACAGCAACCCCAUCAACUACCACGACACAAGACAUCACAAACUGUGUUACCGGAACAAGGGGUGAUGGUAAUGUUAUUAUAAUAUCUUGCGGUACUUCUGCUUAAUCAUCAGUUGAUUGUUUAAAGGUGUACAAUUCAUUACAAUUUACAUUAUAAAGUAAUGUUUAUGUGCUGAUAAUGAAGGUCUUGACACUGAAUGAUGUAACUUUUAAAAUGAUUUACUUUUAAGCUGCAUGUCACUACUAUGGUUUUAAGUGCUUAUUUAGAAUUUAACAAAUCUUUCAAAUGCAAUUGUCAUAACAGUUUUAUGAUUUAACACCCUUUAACACACUGUUUUCCAAUG